CUUAUUCUUAAUAAUUUCUUCCAAUGUGGCAGUGCCCCCUCCACAAUUAGUGUUUUCUACUAAUACUUUCUAGAAUCAUUGUUUGCACCAACCUACUUAGCUUGUUUGUAUUGCAUCUUCAGGUUUGCAAUUUUUUCUCCUCUUCUUUCCUUUGCUUUGCUUUUCCGAAAUUUCUUUAUACUUUCCAAUUUCUUCCUCUUCUCUUCUCUUAUCUCACUUCACCACCGACAGAUCUUCAAUUCCUUCACAGAUCUUCUUUAUACACUACAGCCAACAAUUGUUGCAGUGUAUGUUGUAAGCCACACAACCCACCCAAACUCAACUGGAUCUUUUUGCUUUGUUGACAUUGAAGUGGUAAUUUGGAAUUAUGGGUGUAUGAUGGAGUAGUCUUGUGGUUUAGGGUUUAAGCUUUUUUUCUUUUUGCUGGAUUGGGAGUUUAUUGAUCGCGUAGAUGCUUGUGGGUGUUAGUACUACUCAGAGCUGGAAAGAUAUGUACAGAAGCAUGUCAUCUAAUAAUAUUAAAGGAUUGGUUCUUGCAUUGUCUUCAAGUGUCUUUAUUGGUGCUAGCUUCAUCGUUAAGAAAAAGGGAUUAAAGAAAGUUGUUGCUUCUAGCGUCAGGGCUGGUAACUGUUGCCUCCACCCUACGGAUAUUAAAUUCUUGAAAAUAAAACUACUUGAUUUAUGUUUAAUUUUGUAUGUGCUGAUGUUUUUAUUCGGUCUCAUGAAUAUUUUAGCAUAGUUGUUAUUGCUAUAAUGGUUUUUCUUAGCUAAGAUCAUGAGUAAUCAUGUACAUGUGUGAAAUAAAGUGACAUUUUUAGGUUUUAUUAUUAAUCACUGUAAUGGAAUGGGCCAAUUUGAGGAAUGAAUAUUAUAGCUAUCAACAAAUAGUUUGGGAUGUGAAUGAUAUGUGUGCACCUCAACCAAUUUCAUAAGAUACUAACCCCCUUCCACCAACAACAUUGCCCUAUAACUCUGUCCAAGGCUAGAUUAAAUGGUAAGAAAUACUUAGUGUUGUCUCUUUGAUAGGAUUGAACCCGAGAUAUCAUGGUGCUCAGCCCAUUUUAUUGACCGCGAGGCCACACCCUUGGCUGUGGGAUUGGUGCAUUUACUACAAAAGUUUCUUGGUACAAAUUGUUUGCCUACAACAUUUGUUUGGAUGAUUGUAUAUUACUAUGUACUGAUUUGAGUAAUAAUUGGUCGCGAACCACUUAAUAUUAAUGGCCCGUAACCAUUUGGAUUGCCGUUCUUUCUCUCAAAGAAAAUUCACUUGAGUAUUCAUCAGGAACUUGGUUUUGUCUACUGAAUCUUAGAGUGAAAUAUACUUGUUCUACUCCAAAUGAUAGAGAACCCAGUUCAUUAUUUUCUAGGUAAGUUUGAUGGAUAUAUCUUUAGAAUUUUUUACUCUUGAAUUCUCUCAAUGUAUUACUUUAUAUUCUUCAACGAUCGAGUUACAUUCAUAGGCUACAAUUUAAUUAGUUGACGUAGUGUAAUUCAAUGUGUUCCAAAAUAUCAAGUCAAUUUAUGAUUUGGAUUUUUGAUUUAACAUAAUUAUUUUUGAAAAUCUUGGAUUUUAAGGUAUACGAUAUUACAAAAUGUUACUACUAACAAGGAGAAGAGGACAUGGUGCUAACUAUUGCCUUUUCCACUUGACGGGAAACUAUAUUCGGCUAACUGCUAACCUUCCACACUAAUUCUCAACCUUCAUGCCUUAUUAUCUAAGGUCAUAAAAGGGAGAGGAAGACAAGAUAAGUAGCACUUUGAACCAAAAAAAGGGAACAACUGUGGUUGACAAUUUGCUUAGUAGUGAUGAUAUUCAUUACAUGCUUGGUGCCUUGAAACUGUAAAUAGAAUAUGACAAUGAAAACGAACGAGUUGUUGUUGAAGGUUGUGGUGGGAUGUUCCCUAUUAGUAAAUAAUCCAAGGAAGAAAUUCGACUUUUCCAUGGAAAUUCAGGAACUGCAAUGAGGUCACUAACAGAAGUGGUUGUUGUAGCUGGUGGAAAUUCAAGGUAUUUGUCAGCAACGUGAGGUUUUGAGAGCAUGAAUGAUUAGAUGUCUACUAGAUCUUGAAAAGUUUGUAUGAUGCAUACCACUGUUUGUACUUAAUGGAGUUCCUCGGAUGAGAGAGACCAAUUAGUGAUUUAGUUGAUGGUCUUAAAUGUCUUGGUGCAGAGGUUGAUUGUUUCCUUGGUACGAAAUGUCCUCCUGUUCGAAUUGUCAACAAAGAGGGUCUUCCACGAGGGAAGGCGAGGAUUAAAAAAUCUAUUAUGCCAUAUUUAUAAUUUUAAAAAAAAGUCUUAAACUGUAAUAUGAACAAGUAACUAGGUUGCAGAAGCAGAGAAGACUUUGCUUAUAAAGUUAAAGUAAUCUAUGGCCGGAAGAAAUUGACAUAGUCUAACCUAUUUUCUAGGACGCUUUUGAUCAUUAGUUGCAAAAGUUUAUUGCUAACUCUGAUGAAGUUCAAUUCCUUAAGAUGUGGGUUAAUUGGCAUGAACUCAAGUAAAGGCAAUCUUGGAUGGUCAGCUUGGAGAGUGAAGGAAAUGGUGAAAGUAGGAGUUGUUCAGGAAAUGACGAUAAUUCACCCAGCCAUUAUUUCUUUUUCCACCAUCCUUUCAAGCAAGGCAAGUUACAAUGUUUCAAUUCUUUCAAUGAUGGGAAAUACAUUGAAGAUCCUUUUUGUGGUUCCAUUCCAAGUUGAGAUCCAUUGUAGGAAGCAUGUUCAAUGUAAUCUAGUAAGGUCAAACUUUCAAGUUUAAGGUACUGGAGAGAAGGAAGACACCCAAAUGGUGAAAGACUUUUGCAUACCCAUCAUCCAUUUUGGGAAACUUUGGCCUCUGUGUCUUUCUAUGAAAAGUACCUUCAAAUUUUCAUGUGGUUGAAGGCUAUCCAACAGCAGCUCAUUAUAUUCAUCACCGACGACUUCUUCUGUCCAUUCUAAUCUCAGUGAUUCAAAAUGAAAAUUCAUUUUCAUUGAGGACAAUCAAUGAUGAUGAGGUGCUUCGACACAGAGUUAAGUAUUCUACGUCCUACAGAAUAAUCUAUUUUAAAUUUAAUGACAAUUACAAAUGAAUCUAUUUAUAUGUUUUUUAAUGUCUCGGGAGCUUAUAUUAAACAAUUUACUUAUAAAAUACGAAUCAGUGGAGAAUGUUAGCAUCUGAUUUUACUUCUAUUUAGACCAUGUGUUGUACGACAAUGAAACGAAAACAAUAAAAGAUAAGAGUAACUAGAACUCUAGAUUGUUAUUGAGAGGGAAUUGUUCUUAUAUAAAAUUUAUACGUACUGUAAGUAAAGAGCUAUAUAAAUCAUGUUGUAUUAAUCUCUCUUUCAUUUAUGGUUAAUGAUCUUUUAUUUCAGUGCAAAGCAUUGUGUUUACUAUUAUUGUUGGAGUCGUAGUCAAAGUUACUCAAAAAGCACUCCAUUCUUUGAUGCUUCAGUUCAGAGACCGGUUGUAAAGUUGCCUGAGGUGACUGAAACACUGCUACGUUGAUGAAGGUGAUGUGUCCUGCACCACAGGAAAAUUAAAUCAAAAAUAGCGUAUACGAUGACACGGUAUGGUGUGCAGGUAAGUUGCUUAAAGUCUGUGAAACAAUUGUAACUACAACAACAAAUAGAAGUGAAAAAAAAUUGAACAAUAGUAGUAGGAUUAAUAUGCAGGGAAUUGAAAAAAAUUUAAUAUUUGUGAACUCUUUAGUGAUCUAUUUUUUGAACUAAAGAAAUAAGGAUAAAAAGCUAAACUUGAUUUUCUAUUACUUUAGUCACUCUUAAAUACGGAAAGUGAAUCACUUUAAUGUGAGUUGCAACAUACAUUGAGGCGUGCUUGAAUGUCCUAAGUUGAAGUUCUAAUACUAAGUGCAUGAGCCUUAAUAUUUGAGGUGAUUAUAAGUUUACUAA